GCACUGGCUUUGAACUGGUGGUCAGCCUGUCAGUGGCACCAUUGGCCAGGCUCCAGUGCCAAAGUGAAGGCUUGUUAUAACUGGUGCUGCCUGGCUACACCCAUGUUGCGCUUUUAGUACAAAGCUACAUGU